AUUAACGGCGCGGAAUGCUUUACACAUGCAAGUCGAACGGCAGCACGGAGAGCUUGCUCUCUGGUGGCGAGUGGCGAACGGGUGAGUAAUAUAUCGGAACGUAUCCAAUAAUGGGGGAUAACGAGUCGAAAGAUUCGCUAAUACCGCAUACGCCCUACGGGGGAAAGCAGGGGAUCGUAAGACCUUGCGUUAAUGGAGCGGCCGAUAUCUGAUUAGCUUGUUGGUGAGGUAAAGGCUCACCAAGGCGACGAUCAGUAGCUGGUUUGAGAGAACGACCAGCCACACUGGAACUGAGACACGGUCCAGACUCCUACGGGAGGCAGCAGUGGGGAAUUUUGGACAAUGGGGGCAACCCUGAUCCAGCCAUUCCGCGUGAGUGAAGAAGGCCUUCGGGUUGUAAAGCUCUUUCGCAAGGGAAGAAAACUUAUGAUCGAAUAAAUCAUGAGGUUGACGGUACCUUGAUAAGAAGCACCGGCUAACUACGUGCCAGCAGCCGCGGUAAUACGUAGGGUGCGAGCGUUAAUCGGAAUUACUGGGCGUAAAGCGUGCGCAGGCGGUUUUGUAAGUCGGAUGUGAAAUCCCCGGGCUCAACCUGGGAACUGCGUUCGAAACUGCAAGGCUAGAGUGUGUCAGAGGGGGGUAGAAUUCCACGUGUAGCAGUGAAAUGCGUAGAGAUGUGGAGGAAUACCAAUGGCGAAGGCAGCCCCCUGGGAUAACAC
rnacentral:rRNA from 1 species